AGUGAACGCUGGCGGCAGGCCUAACACAUGCAAGUCGAACGGUAGCACAGAGGAGCUUGCUCCUUGGGUGACGAGUGGCGGACGGGUGGGGAAUACAUCGGAAUCUACCCUGUCGUGGGGGAUAACGUAGGGAAACUUACGCUAAUACCGCAUACGAACUGAGGUUGAAAGCAGGGGACCGCAAGGCCUUGCGCGAUUGGAUGAGCCGAUGUCCGAUUAGCUAGUUGGUAAGGUAAAGGCUUACCAAGGCGACGAUCGGUAGCUGGUCUGAGAGGAUGAUCAGCCACACUGGAACUGAGACACGGUCCAGACUCCUACGGGAGGCAGCAGUGGGGAAUAUUGGACAAUGGGCGCAAGCCUGAUCCAGCCAUGCCGCGUGUGUGAAGAAGGCCUUCGGGUUGUAAAGCACUUUUGUUGGGAAAGAAAAGCGGUCGGUUAAUACCCGGUCGUACUGACGGUACCCAAAGAAUAAGCACCGGCUAACUUCGUGCCAGCCGCCGCGGUAAAAC
rnacentral:rRNA from 1 species